UGGAAUUGGUGGUAAUUGCAUUGCUCAUGAUGUGGACCCGAUUGAGUUAGUCGUAUGGUUGCCUGCAUUGUCAAGGGAAUAUUACGAUAACUAUGAUUGCUUAUUUGAGGGAUUUACUUAUGUUAUCUAAAAAAAUACUUGUAGUUGUUCUAUGAUCUCCUUCUUUUUUUUUGGAUACUUGUUCACCAGAAAACAGCAUCAUGCAAGUGUUUGACCACAGUAAAGAACGAGGAAAAGCUAGAGUUCAACAAAAUCCUGAAGACCAUAAAGCAUAGGAAAACUUCAAUGAGAAGUAUGAAGAGUACCUUAAGAAGCGGGGAGGUGGUAUUAUGGGAUCGAAAUCGCAGGCUAAGACUAAUGCUAAGUUCUUUGGAUUUCACCAUAAAUUAUCUUUCUAUUUGACUUCAAGAGAAUCAAAAUUUCAAUGUUGUUUCUUAAGUACACCAUUCUUUUUCAACUUCUAAUCUUUAAAACUUGUUGGCUGCGUUUGUUUUUUAAUUUUGUAGGUCGCAUGAGUUCAUUUCAGGUCGAAUUAAGGUUUUUGUUUGCUGGAAAUUGCACCUUCAUAUAAUUUCUGGAGAUUUCAUCCCUAAAAUAUAUAUAUGCAGGUAUGGUUUUCGUAAUAGUUAUUAGGUAAUUGAAAGCCUUAAAGUCUGAUAGAAACACCGUUUAUAACUAGUUGGACCUUGUUGAAAAUUUGCAGGAUUCAAACAGCUUUACAUGUGUGUUUGAUUUUAUGCCUAGAGAUUGGUUAUUGUAGAAAUUCUGAAACUAGUGGUUGCUUGCGAUCACUGAUCCAUGUCCUAUUAGAUAAGUUUGUUUGCUUGCGCCUGCUUAAAACAGUCUCUUUUACUUAAAUUUACUCUCUAAAUUUUGUUCAUGCAUCCUUCUUUUAAAACAAAGUUAACAUACGUUUUGUGUUUAUUGUAGAAAUUCUGAAACUUUUGGUCAGGUAAAUAUUCUCUCUCUGUACUUUAGUUAUGAUGCAGUUUAUGAUUCCAAAAACUAGUUAACGAUACUGCAAAGUUGUAUCCAUUGUUUGCUGCGUUUGACUUUUUUUUUUGCUAUCAAAUAACUCGAUUCUUUGUGGUUUUAGAUACUAUGAAUCAUAACUUUAGGCUUGGAUGAUGUUUUUGGAGAUGGAUAAAACUACUUCGUGUACUCAAGGGAGUGAUCCUAGUUCAUAUUAGAUAAGUUUAUAUAUCCUUUACUUUAUUUACUCAGAAUUGGGCUCAUCCUUGUUUUUUUUGGAGCAAAGUUAACAUAUGUGUUUGGGGGAUACAUAUUGCAGAUCAUGGGAAUGAUUCCAAAAGCAUUGUAAGAACUCUCAAGGACAGCCUCUAUAUUUUUCUCUCUUUAUCUUAGUUGUGAUGCCUAGACUUGCUAACUAACGAAACCUCUCAAAGUUGUAUUUAAAUUACAGGAUUUAAAGGUUUCUUUGAAAAUCCAGGGGAAGCUAAGGGGCUAUUGUGUCUUCAGAAAAGCAAAGAGCUGGUUUCUUUCUCAAGUACACCAUUCUUUUUCGAUUUCCAAACUUUAAAACUUGUUGGUUCCGCUUGAUUUUUUAAUUUUUUGGUAUGUCGCUUGAGUUCAUCUCAGGUGUUAUUAAAUCUUAUAUACAACCUCAAUUAAGGUGUAUUGUUUGCUGGAAAUAGCACUUCAUAUAAUUUCUGGAGAUGUCAUUCCAAAAACAUAUGCAGGAAUGGUUUUCGUAAUAGUUAUUAGAUAAUUUGAAAGGCUUAAAGUUUUGGUGUCUCUCUCUCUCUUUUCUUUCUUUGCCAAACGGCCCUCUGAGCACCUUGUUGGUGUUCGAAUUUGUGACAUACUUGUUUUUAUGGCUGUAGAUUCUUGGGUAACUUGAAGCAGAGCUCGAAGCUCCCACCAGCUUUGUUUAGGAACCCUUGACAAAAACUUAGGGCUUCUUCUCUAUUCCUCUUGUUGCUCUAUUUUAUAUUACCAUUUAGCUAUUCUAAUCCAAUGUUUUUAUAAUUGCAGCCACUCCUCUGUUCAAGGUUCUUCUCAGGUAUAAACUUGAGGUAUAAACUGCCAAGAAGGAGCGUCUUCUCAAGAAGGCUGAGGGCAAACCUUCUAAGUAAAAGAAGCCAAUUGUUGUGAAGGCUGAGGUCUUAAUCAUGCGACUAACCUCAAUGAGAAAGCAUCUUCCUUUCCUAAUUUAUUAAAUUGUCACUCGAAAUUAGUUAGCUAGCUGCAGGAUCUUUUCUGAAACAUUUAUGUUUUCUUGAUUGCAGAACAAGGCGCAAUUGGUGGUAAUUGCUCAUGAUGUGGACUCAAUUGAGUUAGUCGUCUAGUUGCCCGCAUUAUAAGUUCCUUACUGCAUUUUUACGGGGGAAUUCACGAUUAGGAGCAAUAACUAUGAUAACUUACUUUGAGGCCUUUACUUAUUUUAACUACAUCAAUAGAAAAACAUGUAGUUUAUCUGGGAGCGGUAACUAAAAAAAAAAAUCUAUGAUUGCCUCUUUUUGUGUCUUGUUGCAGAUUAUCCACGAGAAGCAGCAUCUUGCUUGUUGACCAUAGUAAAGAAUGAAGCUGGAGUUGGGAAUAAUCCUGGAGACCAUAAAUUAGUGAUCGCAAAUGCAAGAGCAACGGGAAACUGACGACGUCUCAUACGAAAGGGAAACUUUGCAUCCGGUGGCGAGACAGACAUCCUAGGAAUAAGAACUCUAUCAUUGACGUUUUUUUUACCUGUUACAAUCCUUGCUUCGAUAACAUGAUUAGCCAUUUGCGUAACAAUCAACCUCAUUCCAUUGCAUAAACCUCCCUUAGGAUCAAUAUUCCUAAGCAACAUGAUAGGUGCCCCCUUUUUCAAUGUCAGAACAUGGUUAGGUAAUCCAGAAACUUGAAUACUGUUUAAGAAUUUCUGAGUGUAGAUCAUA